rnacentral:rRNA from 1 species
AGUGAACGCUGGCGGUAGGCCUAACACAUGCAAGUCGAACGGCAGCACAGUAAGAGCUUGCUCUUACGGGUGGCGAGUGGCGGACGGGUGAGGAAUACAUCGGAAUCUACUUUUUCGUGGGGGAUAACGUAGGGAAACUUACGCUAAUACCGCAUACGACCUACGGGUGAAAGCAGGGGAUCUUCGGACCUUGCGCGAUUGAAUGAGCCGAUGUCGGAUUAGCUAGUUGGCGGGGUAAAGGCCCACCAAGGCGACGAUCCGUAGCUGGUCUGAGAGGAUGAUAAGCCACACUGGAACUGAGACACGGUCCAGACUCCUACGGGAGGCAGCAGUGGGGAAUAUUGGACAAUGGGCGCAAGCCUGAUACAGCCAUACCGCGUGGGUGAAGAAGGCCUUCGGGUUGUAAAGACCUUUUGUUGGGAAAGAAAAGCAGCAGGUUAAUACCACGCUGUUCUGACGGUACCCAAAGAAUAAGCACCGGCUAACUUCGUG